CGCUACUCCUGACAGCAGUGGAAAUCCUGACUUUGUGAGAUUGCUUAGCAAACUCGCAAUGGCAGAUUACUUCACAAAGUAUUAUUUUAUUUUGGAGUUCCGUGAAUUUCAUUUGGGAACGGAUGGCAGGAAUUACC
rnacentral:misc_RNA from 1 species